rnacentral:rRNA from 1 species
GUGCAGCAGGCGCGAAACCUCCGCAAUGCGCGACAGCGUGACGGGGUCAUCCCAAGUGCCGCCCGCUGAGGACGGCUUUUCCCCAGUGUAAGGAACUGGGGGAAUAAGGGGAGGGCAAGUCUGGUGUCAGCCGCCGCGGUAAUACCAGCUCCCUGAGUGGUGGGGAUGAUUACUGGGCCUAAAGCGUCCGUAGCCGGCUUGGCAAGUCUUCCGUUAAAUUCGAUGAUUCAAUCGUUGGAUUGCGAGGGAUACUGUUCGGCUAGGGGGUGAGAGAGGCCAACGGUAUUCCCGGGGUAGGGGUGAAAUCCUAUAAUCCCGGGAGGACCACCAGUGGCGAAGGCUGUUGGCUAGAACACGCCCGACGGUGAGGGAUGAAAGCUGGGGGAGCGAACCGGAUUAGAUACCCGCGUAGUCC